UACAGAGGUCCCAAGCGUUGUUCGGAUUUACUGGGCGUAAAGGGUGCGUAGGUGGUCGGGUAAGUCUCAUGUGAAAUCCCGCAGCUUAACUGCGGAACGGCAUGGGAUACUAUUCGGUUCGAGGAUUGGAGGGGGGACUGGAAUUCCCGGUGUAGCAGUGAAAUGCGUAGAUAUCAGGAGGAACACCGGUGGCGAAGGCGGGUCUCUGGGCCGAUACUGACGCUGAGGAGCGAAAGCGUGGGGAGCGAACAGG
rnacentral:rRNA from 1 species